rnacentral:rRNA from 1 species
ACUCAAAGGAAUUGACGGGGGCCCGCACAAGCAGCGGAGCGUGUGGUUUAAUUCGACGCAACGCGAAAAACCUUACCCAGAUUUGACAUGUGCCUGCACGCCCUGGAAACAGGGUCGCUCUUGAAGGUGGCACACAGGUGCUGCAUGGCUGUCGUCAGCUCGUGUCGUGAGAUGUUGGGUUCAGUCCCGCAACGAGCGCAACCCCUGCGGCCAGUUAGAUCUGUCUGGCCGGACUGCCCUUUGUGGGAGGAAGGCGGGGAUGAUGUCAAGUCCGCAUGGCCCUUACAUCUGGGGCAACACACACGCUACAAUGGCGCCGCCAGCGCGUUGCUUGCCCGCAAGGGUUGGCGAAUCGCCAAACGGGGUCUCAGUGCAGAUCGAGGGCUGAAACUCGCCCUCGUGAAGGCGGAGUUGCUAGUAACCGCGCAUCAGCUAUGGCGCGGUGAAUACGUGCCCGGGCCUUGCACACACCGCCCGU